ACGUAAUAGAUACCCGGGUAGUCCACGCCCUAAACGAUGUCUACUAGUUGUUGGUGGAGUAAAAUCCAUGGGUAAACGCAGCUAAACGCGUGAAGUAGACCGCCUGGGGAGUACGGUCGCAAGAUUAAAACUCAAAGGAAUUGACGGGGGCCCGGCACAAGCGGUGGAUUAUGUGGAUUAAUUCGAUGCAACGCGAAAAACCUUAACCUGGCCUUGACAUGCCACUAACGAAGCAGAGAUGCAUUAGGUGCCCGUAACGGGAAAAGUAGGACACAGGUGCUGCAUGGCUGUCGUCAGCUCGUGUCGUGAGAUGUUGGGUUAAGUCCCGCAACGAGCGCAACCCUUGCCAUUAAUUGCCAUCAUUUAGUUGGGCAC
rnacentral:rRNA from 1 species